rnacentral:rRNA from 1 species
AUUGAACGCUGGCGGCAUGCCUUACACAUGCAAGUCGAACGGUAACAGGUUAAGCUGACGAGUGGCGAACGGGUGAGUAAUGUAUCGGAACGUGCCCAGUCGUGGGGGAUAACUGCUCGAAAGAGCAGCUAAUACCGCAUACGACCUGAGGGUGAAAGCGGGGGAUCGCAAGACCUCGCGCGAUUGGAGCGGCCGAUAUCAGAUUAGGUAGUUGGUGAGGUAAAGGCUCACCAAGCCGACGAUCUGUAGCUGGUCUGAGAGGACGACCAGCCACACUGGGACUGAGACACGGCCCAGACUCCUACGGGAGGCAGCAGUGGGGAAUUUUGGACAAUGGGCGCAAGCCUGAUCCAGCCAUGCCGCGUGCGGGAAGAAGACCUUCGGGUUGUAAACCGCCUUUGCCAGGGAAGAAAAGGUUCUGGCUAAUACCUGGGACUCAUGACGGUACCUGAAGAAUAAGCACCGGCUAACUACGUGCCAGCAGCCGCCGUAA